CUCACAUAACUUCGAUGGCUUUCAAUUCAGAGUUCAACAUCACUGCCCGAAUGGAUUCGCGGCCUCACCGUUUUAAGACAGUUCGAAAUUGGAUACUAUUCCUUUAUACAGAAAAGCAAAAACAAAGAGGGCAGAUUUUUCGGGUCCCGUGUGAGAAAUGAAGUUCCCUUGAACAGUGUGCAUGAGGAGAAUUGAAGUUCACUUGAACUGUAUUCAUGAGCAUAAAUAAAAUACUGAAACGAACAUGACCUAGUGUUUUAGGCUUCUGAAGAACUAGCGAAAGAAUAAUAGUUACUUCCAUAAAUAUGCAGUGGAGAGAAGAAGAAACAGAUGGAGUGAAGAAAGCCAAUAGCCAUCAUUCCAAUGGACCUUGUAAGAGUACAGGAAAAUUGCAAUGCCGGAAGAGCAUGGUUCGAAGUAUGCUCAAGUCUUGUUGGGCACUUACAGCAGUUGAGAGAGCUUCAGUAUCCCAAGUGUGGUAUCUUGUGCUGCAGUGUCGAGCAAAGUUCCUCCGUUCUGAUUUCGUGUUUUUAAAUUUAAAUUUUGUUUUGUUUUGUUUUUCCUAUUCUGAACCAGAUUGGAACAGACUUAGAGUGCUCUUGUACUUGUAAUCUUCUUAUUCAAUUAGUGAAAAACCUAGCAACCUCGUGGACGUAGCUCAAUUAUGAGUGAACCACGUAAAACUGUGGUGUUGGAUUUGU